rnacentral:rRNA from 1 species
AUAAGCGGAGGAAAAGAAACCAACAGGGAUUGCCUUAGUAGCGGCGAGUGAAGCGGCAAAAGCUCAAAUUUGAAAUCUGGCGCCUUCGGUGUCCGAGUUGUAAUUUGAAGAUUGUAACCUUGGGGUUGGCUCUUGUCUAUGUUUCUUGGAACAGGACGUCACAGAGGGUGAGAAUCCCGUGCGAUGAGAUGCCCAAUUCUAUGUAAGGUGCUUUCGAAGAGUCGAGUUGUUUGGGAAUGCAGCUCUAAGUGGGUGGUAAAUUCCAUCUAAAGCUAAAUAUUGGCGAGAGACCGAUAGCGAACAAGUACAGUGAUGGAAAGAUGAAAAGAACUUUGAAAAGAGAGUGAAAAAGUACGUGAAAUUGUUGAAAGGGAAGGGUUUGAGAUCAGACUCGAUAUUUUGUGAGCCUUGCCUUCGUGGCGGGGUGACCCGCAGCUUAUCGGGCCAGCAUCGGUUUGGGCGGUAGGAUAAUGGCGUAGGAAUGUGACUUUACUUCGGUGAAGUGUUAUAGCCUGCGUUGAUGCUGCCUGCCUAGACCGAGGACUGCGAUUUUAUCAAGGAUGCUGGCAUAAUGAUCCCAAACCGCCCGUCUGA